GAACACCGUGUGCCAUAGCCGAGUUCUUCAACAAAAAUUCAAUUCUAUUCAAGUUUUCGAGUUGGGUGGUAAUCAUGCACCGAGUUGCUCGAGAGUUCUCUAUCAAUGGAGGAAUUGGAUAUUACAGAUGUGUUGUGGCUUAUGCUUCAGAUUUGAUAUUCUCUGGUGUAAGUUUGAAUCCGUAGAAGAGGACAUAAAACAAGUCUAAGUUAGUUUGGACCAUGCGGGGGAAGAAUGGAGGAGGAUUCACCAAAUCCUCCAGUUUCAUUGCGUGCCUGGAUUUCUGCCCUGAAGACAGUGCCUUAGGAAGAAUAUAAAAGCAAGCCAAUCUCAUAUUGGAUUCUUCUACUUCUAAGCAGUGUGACAAUGCUCGUAGCGUUUCCUGCAUCAAGCCUUCUAUCUCGUAUCUAUUUUGCCAAUGACGGCACUAGCAAGUGGAUCAUUUCUUAGGUGGCUGUUGCAGAGUGGUCUCUAAGACUCUAACUGCUUUGAUCUUACUGCCUACAUACUUCUUCUGCAAAAAGUCUCCUACCCCUGUGAAUUUAGCACAUACAUUAUCUUAUGUUGUGCUUAGGUUUCCUAAGUGCUGCUGAAAAUCUUAUCUAUGCAUAUUUUGCUUAUAUUUGUUUGA